GAUGAACGCUGGCGGCGUGCCUAACACAUGCAAGUCGAACGAAGCAUCCCGCCCGAAGAAGAGGAGAGCUUGCUCAAAUCGGACUCAAUUGGGAUGACUUAGUGGCGGACGGGUGAGUAACGCGUGGGUAACCUGCCGUAUACAGGGGGAUAACAGUUAGAAAUGACUGCUAAUACCGCAUAAGCGCACAGAACCGCAUGGUACAGUGUGAAAAGCCGAGACGGUAUACGAUGGACCCGCGUCUGAUUAGCCAGUUGGCAGGGUAACGGCCUACCAAAGCAACGAUCAGUAGCCGGCCUGAGAGGGUGAACGGCCACAUUGGGACUGAGACACGGCCCAAACUCCUACGGGAGGCAGCAGUGGGGGAUAUUGCACAAUGGGGGAAACCCUGAUGCAGCGACGCCGCGUGAGUGAAGAAGUAUUUCGGUAUGUAAAGCUCUAUCAGCAGGGAAGAAAAUGACGGUAC
rnacentral:rRNA from 1 species